rnacentral:tRNA from 1 species
AUAAGGUGCCUGAUAAAAGGAUUACGUUGAUACUGUAAUAAUGCAUGAAAUGCCCUUAUUU